rnacentral:rRNA from 1 species
CCUGGAUUCAGCGGCGGACGGGUGAGUAAUGCCUAGGAAUCUGCCUGGUAGUGGGGGAUAACGUCCGGAAACGGGCGCUAAUACCGCAUACGUCCUGAGGGAGAAAGUGGGGGAUCUUCGGACCUCACGCUAUCAGAUGAGCCUAGGUCGGAUUAGCUAGUUGGUGGGGUAAAGGCCUACCAAGGCGACGAUCCGUAACUGGUCUGAGAGGAUGAUCAGUCACACUGGAACUGAGACACGGUCCAGACUCCUACGGGAGGCAGCAGUGGGGAAUAUUGGACAAUGGGCGAAAGCCUGAUCCAGCCAUGCCGCGUGUGUGAAGAAGGUCUUCGGAUUGUAAAGCACUUUAAGUUGGGAGGAAGGGCAGUAAGUUAAUACCUUGCUGUUUUGACGUUACCAACAGAAUAAGCACCGGCUAACUUCGUGCCAGCAGCCGCGGUAAUACGAAGGGUGCAAGCGUUAAUCGGAAUUACUGGGCGUAAAGCGCGCGUAGGUGGUUCAGCAAGUUGGAUGUGAAAUCCCCGGGCUCAACCUGGGAACUGCAUCCAAA